rnacentral:rRNA from 1 species
CACAUCAUAUCCAUAACACCUGUGCACUUGUCGGAUGGCUUAGUGAAGACCGCAAGGUUGGAUCUAUCCAUCUACUUUACAUAACAAUUCUGUAACAAAUGUAGUCUUAUUAUAACAUAAUAAAACUUUCAACAACGGAUCUCUUGGCUCUCGCAUCGAUGAAGAACGCAGCGAAAUGCGAUAAGUAAUGUGAAUUGCAGAAUUCAGUGAAUCAUCGAAUCUUUGAACGCACCUUGCGCUCCUUGGUAUUCCGAGGAGCAUGCCUGUUUGAGUGUCAUGAAAACCCUCAACCCUAGAUUGGUUAAAACCUUUCUUUGGUUUGGAUUUGGACGUUUGCCGAUGAUAAGUCGGCUCGUCUUAAAAGUAAUAGCUGGAUCUGUCUCGCGACAUGGUUUGACUUGGCGUAAUAAGUAUUUCGCUAAGGACAUCUUCGGAUGGCCGCGUUGCAGGACUAAAGACCGCUUUCUAAUCCAUUGAUCUUACGAUUAAUAUUCUUGACAUCUGGCCUCAAAUCAGGUAGGACUACCCGCUGAACUUAAGCAUAUCAAUAAGCGGAGG